rnacentral:tRNA from 1 species
UCCCUGGUAGCUUAAUCGGUAAAGAAACUGCCUGCAGUGCAGGAGUCCCAGGUUCAAUUCCUGGGUCCGGAA